ensembl:rRNA 5S_rRNA 5S ribosomal RNA
GACAUUUGGUAGAGACUGUUGAAGCUACCUGGUCCCUGCAGACCCCAGAGAACGGCCACAUUCGCUGGUGCUGGAACAAGGUUGCUGGGGGUGAAGACUGGUGUCAGAUGUGU